AUAUAUCUUUCCGGUGUCAGUCCCAGGAUAGACAGUCCAACAGGGAACAAAGCAUCGGCCUCCAACAGCUGCUGGUCUUUUCAUAGAAUAAUAAAACGACCUGUUUGGUCUGGAAGAUUUCCUUGUCCCACGGUGUCAGUCAGCCCCUCCUGUUGACACCGGAGCCAGCUUUUCCUCUCUCUUCCUAUGGCUGUGGCAUAUGAUUUCAUCAGAGGGAGAACAUUUCCUUUGGCACACCUCUACCACCCACUUGCUAGACUCAGUCAGCAGAGCAGUUUCCCUUCUUCACCCAGCAGAACACUCGGUGCUGUUUUUAGUUAUCCAUUUCUCAUCAGCCACAACUUCAGUGAGAGCAGCCUCGGACAACUUCUCCAAAGCAAAGAAAUCAACUCCAUGAUGUUGAAGAGGGAAGAGAAAAGGGCAGUGGACUGAGAUUUAGGGAUGCUCACUCCAGUCUCUAAUUCCCCAUGUAACUAGGGGCAGCUCCUUCAUCUCCCUGGAUCUGUUUUCUCACCACACUGUAAUGAGUGGGUUGGGAUGGGCGAGGGCAGGGUUUCAUCUACCCUAAAGUCUUGGCCUCCACUUGUUCAAUCUGCAGAUCUGGCUGCUGACCUGGACCAGACUGACAGCUCUCUUUCUGACUCACCGCAUUUUGCCCAUCAGCAGAUCUUGUGAUCUCUACAUGAAUCUAAUCACUUCUCAUUUCUGCCUCUGCUGCUCCUUUGGUCUGAGUAACCACUAUUCUUCCUGGGAUUAUCCUAACAAUGUUUAAAUGCCUCUCCUUGCUUCUCUUUUUACCUACUCCCAAUUCCUGACCCAGGAACAAGAAUGUCCUUUUAAAACAAAAGUCAAAUCGUGUCACUUCUCUGCAUAAAACACUCCAAUGACUUCCUGUCUCACUCACUGGAAAGAACAGCCUUCUUUUCAAUGGUCUCUAAAGCCUUAUGUAAGGUGGACUUUCAUUUAUUUAUGAUCUCAUCUCUUAACUCUCUCAUCUUCAGUUGCUCCAUCCACGUACUGAAAUAUGAAGUACAUCUCUGCCUCAGGGCCUUUGAAUUGCUAUUCUCCCUGCGUGAAAUGCUCUUUCUCCAGAAAAUCAUGUUGGUUCUCUUAUCUCUUUCAGUCACUUAACUAAAGAGACUGUCAUUGGAUCAUUUCAUAUAAAAUAGCAAUCUCCUCUCCAUUCUACCUCCAGCAACACCUCCUGCACCAUGCACUUACCCUGCUUUACAUCUGUCUAUAUAGAACUUAUCACCAUCUAAUGCCCAACAUUUGUUGAGCUGCCUAUUUUAUGUCUCUUGUACAUGAAAAUAUAAGCAUCUUGAGGAAUAGAAAAUUUACUAUGUCCACUGUUAUAUCUCCAAUGUCUAAAACUGUAUCUGGAAACUGAUAGUUACUUAACAAUCAUGAGUUGAAUAAAUGAAUGAAUUUCAAGUGAAUAAAUGCUUUUGUGGGUCUGGAA